rnacentral:tRNA from 1 species
GGUAAAAUGGCUGAUGAUAGGCGAUAAAUUGUAAAUUUAUUUAUAAGAUAAAUCUUUUUUACUA